CGUGUGCUUACAAGUAGUCAGAGCCCGUUAAUGGGUGAUGGCGUGCCUUUUGUAGAAUGAACCGGCGAGUUACGAUUUGAUGCAAGGUUAAGCAGUAAAUGUGGAGCCGUAGCGAAAGCGAGUCUGAAUAGGGCGUUUAGUAUUUGGUCGUAGACCCGAAACCAGGUGAUCUACCCUUGGUCAGGUUGAAGUUCAGGUAACACUGAAUGGAGGACCGAACCGACUUACGUUGAAAAGUGAGCGGAUGAACUGAGGGUAGCGGAGAAAUUCCAAUCGAACCUGGAGAUAGCUGGUUCUCUCCGAAAUAGCUUUAGGGCUAGCCUCAAGUGAUGAUUAUUGGAGGUAGAGCACUGUUUGGACGAGGGGCCCCUCUCGGGUUACCGAAUUCAGACAAACUCCGAAUGCCAAUUAAUUUAACUUGGGAGUCAGAACAUGGGUGAUAAGGUCCGUGUUCGAAAGGGAAACAGCCCAGACCACCAGCUAAGGUCCCAAAAUAUAUGUUAAGUGGAAAAGGAUGUGGCGUUGCCCAGACAACUAGGAUGUUGGCUUAGAAGCAGCCAUCAUUUAAAGAGUGCGUAAUAGCUCACUAGUCGAGUGACACUGCGCCGAAAA
rnacentral:rRNA from 1 species